CCAUAUAGUGUUGAAACAUUGGUUCCCAUAUGAUCACUGAAGUUAAGUAAUGUAGAGCCUGGCCAGUAACUAGAUGGGUGACUACUUGGGAAUACCAGGUGCUGUAAG